UCAUGUAGCUUCCAAAUUCGGUCCUGAAGAAAAUCCUUACAAACUGAGAAGGAACCCGAAGUCAUGUGCUGGGUCAUCUGCAAAGUCUACUCUGGAUUUCUUUUAAAUCCUAAUUGUUGGUCUGGAGAGAUGGCUUAGUGGCUAAGGCACUUGCCUGCAAAGCCUAAGAACCCAUGUUUGACUCUCCAGAUCCCACGUAAGCCAGAUGCACAAAGAUGUUCUAAAGCAACGAGAAACUGAAAACCAGCAAUGUCGGCUCAAAGGCUGAAACUUAAUAUUGAUGCUAAGCGGAUUCCAUGGAAAAUGUCUCCAGUCUCCACAGUGGCUCUGGUCAUGAAGCAGGGGCCGGGGACCCAUGUGGUUGUCAAGAUGGUUGCGUAGGUCGCCGUGUAGCAGGACCCUUUGCCUUCUGACCAUCCAGCAGGCUCUUUCCUGGUGUUUCUAGUAGCUCACCACUUCUUUGAUAUAAAAGAAUGCUAUAUGGAUCUGAGCCCAUGGUUUCCCAUUGCCACAAGAGAAGUUCAGCUGAAAAAAGACUGUACUUCCAUAGCCUACUGCAGGAUGCAACCCACGGGUUAUCCCUGGAAUGAUUACCUAACCCCAUAAGGUAGGGCUCCAGCUUCUGAUCCUUCUGCCCUAGUCUUGAGACUGGAAGCCAGACCCCUUCAUGCAACCCAAAUGGUCAAGUCCAGCCAUAUGGGAACUGAUCACUGUCAGAAACCCUCUGAGCACAUCUGGGAGGCUUUCCACCUACCCCUGGACAGCCGUGGUGAUGGAGCUACCUUCCCAGGUGAUCAAAAGAGAAAAGAGAUGCACCAACCCUGCCUCCCCGAGGACCCAUGCAGCCCCACAAAUGCAGAUUUCAAAGGAUGAUACCCAAGAAAGUUUUAUGGAAGCCAAGGAUUGGCUCUCGGAUUUGUUUGUUUGUUUGAAAGGGGGAAGACAGUGAGAAAGAAGCAUAUAGAGAGAGUAUGGACUCUAUCUCCCACCAUUGCAGAUAAACUCCAGAUGUGUGCUCCACUUUUGUGCAUCUGGCUUUAUGAGGGCACUGGGGAAUAAAACCCAGGCCAUCAGGCUUUGUGUGCAUGUGCCUUUGACUGCUGAGACA